GUGCCAGCAGCCGCGGUAAUACGGAKGGUGCAAGCGUUAACCGGAAUACUGGGCGUAAAGCGCACGCASGCGGUUUGUUAAGUCAGAUGUGAAAUCCCCGGGCUCAACCUGGGAACUGCAUCUGAUACUGGCAAGCUUGAGUCUCGUGGAGGGGGGUAGAAUUCCAGGUGUAGCGGUGAAAUGCGUAGAGAUCUGGAGGAAUACCGGUGGCGAAGGCGGCCCCCUGGACGAAGACUGACGCUCAGGUGCGAAAGCGUGGGGAGCGAACAGGAUUAGAUACCCUGGUAGUCCACGCUGUAAACGAUGCUAACUCGUUUUUGGGGAUUUAUCUUCAGAGACUAAGCGGAAGUGAUAAGUUASCCACCUGGGGAGUACGAACGCAAGUUUGAAACUCAAAGGAAUUGACGGGGGCCCGCACAAGCGGUGGAUUAUGUGGUUUAAUUCGAUGAUACGCGAGGACCUUACCAAGGCUUAAAUGGGAAUUGAUCGGUUUAGAAAUAGACCUUCCUUCGGGCAAUUUUCAAGGUGCUGCAUGGUUGUCGUCAGCUCGUGCCGUGAGGUGUUAGGU
rnacentral:rRNA from 1 species